AUGCGGUGUUUAGAUGAUGUAAGGAUUCCAGUACUAUUGGCCCAGUGGUACAGAAGAAACCUAAAUCGGCAUGCUUGUUGAUAAUGUUUACAUGUUUAUUGUACAUUCACAUGUUCGUAUUAUAUAAUGUUGUGUUUUAAAUGCUGUGGAGAUUUCAGUACUGUUGGCCCAGUGACUGGAUCGAGGGGUUAAUGCCCUAAAGGUCGUUGUUGGCAUUAGAAGAUGUCGUUAAAUUGUGCAUAAACACUGACCGAAAUAUUGGGUUAAAAGAUUGAUGUUUCGGAGAUCGUUGUUAGCAUCGGAAGAUAUCGUUAAAUUAUGUAUAAAUACUGGACCAAUUAUUGGGUCGAGAGAUUGAUGCCCCGAGUGUGUGUUUUGGCAUUGAGAUGUUGUUGGGAAUGGUCUGAAUAUACAUAUAUAUUGGUGUUACUAUUUUGUGAUGCAGAGAAGAAAAAUGAAUUGAGCUAUG
rnacentral:lncRNA from 1 species